CCCUGGAGUCAUUACUCAUUCUUGGCCACGAAUGAUCCGGAGAGCUUUUCGGGUUAUUCAGUGUCGAACCACCCCGCAACCCGCGUUCCCGCCCCGCCUUGACUCAGUUCCUUCUCAAUUUCCUCUCGCUUUUCAACCCUCUCCGGUACAUUUCCGGGGGAAAAGAGUAGAGAGGGUAGCGUCGGCCAGGGGAUAGUGAAAGCAAAGGUCCUCGAGGCUCGAGGGACAAGCCCUGGAUCCCAAGCCCCUGCCUCCGCGACGUUCGGCCUCUCUAGACCUCUUGUAAAAUGAAGCGCCGUCCUCCCUGUCUUUCAAGCGGCUGGUCGGUGGGGGGAGAUCCGACAGCGUGGAGAAGUCUGCGCAACGUUCCUGCUGCGGGGGUCAGAAUCCCACUUACUCAAGGGCUGGCUGUGUGACCUCGGACCGGUUACUUAACCUCUCUGUGCCAGUUUCCUUCUCUGAAGCAGGGCUAAGACUAGUCCAGCCCGUCCAGUUUGAAAUUGCAAGGAAAGCGCUUAGAAGAGCGGCCGGAAUAAAGAACGCACUCACUCAACGGUGGCUGUGGUUAACUACACGCCUUCGCUCGACUAAUAAUUGCCUGAGCACCUACUGUGGGCCAGAGCCAACAGGAAACUAAUACCAGAGGCUGUCACUUGCCUGUAACGGCCUGUGGGCACAGAGUCAGGAUUUGGACCCAAGCUGCCUGGCUCCAGGGCCCACGUGCAAAACCAUCACGGUGAACGUUGCCGCUCUGGGAGGGGACAAGAACCAGGAGCCAGAAGCCACCAGCCUCUUUCCAUCGGUCCUCCACUGGUGUUCUUGGCUGCGCCUUCCCCUGGCUUCUGGGGCAGGGCUGACUUGGGGAGGGGAGAAAAGAUCUGCUGAGUUAGUGCAACAAAGACAAUUUCCCCAUGUCUAGCACCUUGCAGCUCAAGUCACACCACUAUGUUGCAACCGCAGAAAUAAUCAUUGUACUUCAAGGGCUAAUGUCGCUAAUAGAUAAAGAGCCCUGAUUGAGGGUUGACUGUGUCUUCCUUCCUUGGCCUCCCCAGUCCCCCUCCCCCCAUAAAGAAAGAAAGAGAUCUAUUGAAAUCCUAACUUCUAGUACUCAGAAUGUGACCUUAUUUGGAAAUAGGGCUGUUGUUGAUGUAAUUUGUGAAGAUGGUGUCAUAGGGGAGGAGGCGGGGCCCCUAAUCCAAAGCGGCUGGUGUCUCCAUGGGAAGAUCGUCGCAUGAAGACAGAGACACAGGGAGAAGGCCAUGGGAUAAAGGGAGCAGAGACUGGAGUCAGAGAGCUGCAAACCAAGGAAUACCAAAGAUUGCCCGCAAACCAAUCGAAGCUGGCAAGAGGCAGGAAGGACUCACCCAAGAGGGUUUCAGAGAGGGGAGCUCUUUCGUACAGUGGCAAAGGGGUCGCAGCAGCAAGACGGUGACAACAGAACCUGCAAACUCUCCCGAGGCCAAGAGUCAACUCAUGCAACAUGGCUUCUGCCACCUUCUAUGGUCAAAGCAAGUUCUGAGAUUGGCUCAGAGUGGACGAGAGGGAGAUAGACUCCAUCUCUCUCUCUCUCUCUUUUUUUUAAUGUUUAUUUAUUUUUGAGAGAGAGACGAAGAGGGAGACACA